CUACGGGCGGCUGCAGGUGGGAAUAUUGGACAAUGGGCGAAAGCCUGAUCCAGCAAUACCGCGUGAAUGAUGAAGGCCUUCGGGUUGUAAAGUUCUUUUAAUAGGAAAGAUGAUGACAGUACCUAUAGAAUAAGCACCGGCAAACUUCGUGCCAGCAGCCGCGUGUAAUACGAAGGGUGCUAGCGUUGUUCGGAAUUAUUGGGCGUAAAGGGUGUGUAGGUGGUUUUGUAAGUUAAUUGUGAAAUCCCGGGGCUCAACCUCGGAAUUGCGUUUAAAACUACAGGGCUAGAGUAAGAUGAGCGAUGGCAGAAUUUCUAGUGUAGGGGUAAAAUCCGCAGAUAUUAGAAAGAAUACCGGUGGUGUAGACGGCUAUCUUGGUCUUUACUGACACUGAAACACGAAAGUGUGGGGAGCAAACAGGAUUAGAUACCCGCGUAGUC
rnacentral:rRNA from 1 species